UAAUACGUAGGGUGCGAGCGUUAAUCGGAAUUACUGGGCGUAAAGCGUGCGCAGGCGGUUAUAUAAGACAGGCGUGAAAUCCCCGGGCUUAACCUGGGAAUGGCGUCUGUGACUGUAUAGCUAGAGUGUGUCAGAGGGGGGUGGAAUUCCACGUGUAGCAGUGAAAUGCGUAGAUAUGUGGAGGAACACCAAUGGCGAAGGCAGCCCCCUGGGAUAACACUGACGCUCAUGCACGAAAGCGUGGGGAGCAAACAGGAUUAGGUACCCUGGUAGUCCACGCCCUAAACGAUGCUGACUAGUUGUUGGGAAUUUACAUUCUCAGUAACGUAGCUAACGCGUGAAGUCAGCCGCCUGGGGAGUACGGUCGCAAGAUUAAAACUCAAAGGAAUUGACGGGGACCCGCACAAGCGGUGGAUGAUGUGGAUUAAUUCGAUGCAACGCGAAAAACCUUACCUACCCUUGACAUGUCACUAACGAAGUAGAGAUACAUUAGGUGCCCGUAAGGGAAAGUGAACAC
rnacentral:rRNA from 1 species